CAGCCGCCGCCGCGCCAUCAGCACCAGCACGCAGCCGAUGUCGGCUGUGUAGGAGAUGGUAUGCAGCUCUUCCUGUGGUUCUAGAAUCUCCUUCAGUAGUUCACACCUUUGGCUACACCAGGGAUUCUAAGAAUUACCUGACCAGUCAAGGAACAAACAAUUCUGUUCCAGGAGAAUUCUAGACAGUUCCAGAAUACUCCCAACCCAGCCCAGAACUACAUAAAGCUUUACUCCUGGCUGGGUGCGGUGGCUCACGUCUGUAACCCCAGCACUUUAGGAGGCAGAGGCGGGCGGAUCACCUGAGGUCAGGAGUUUGAGACCAGCCUGGCCAACAUGGUGAAACCCCGUCUCUACUAAAAAUACCAAAAUUAGCUGGGCAUGGUGGCAGGCGCCUGUAAUCCCAGCUACUCGGGAGGCUAAGGAAGGAGAAUCACUUGAACCCAGGAGGCAGAGGUUGCAGUGAGCCAAGAUUGCGCCAUUGCACUCCAGCCUGGGCAACAAGGUGAGACUGUGUCUCAAAAAAAUAAAAAAGUAAAUUAAAAAUAUUGAUUGUAUG
ensembl:lncRNA novel transcript, antisense to APBA3